AAGACCUUUGUGGCGCAGUUAACGCAAUAAGUCGACCGCCUGGGGAGUACGGCCGCAAGGUUAAAACUCAAAUGAAUGGACGGGGGCCCGCACAAGCGGUGGAGCAUGUGGUUUAAUUCGAUGCAACGCGAAGAACCUUACCUACCCUUGACAUCGUGCGAACUUUCCAGAGAUGGAUUGGUGCCUUCGGGAGCGCACAGACAGGUGCUGCAUGGCUGUCGUCAGCUCGUGUUGUGAAAUGUUGGGUUAAGUCCCGUAACGAGCGCAACCCUUGUCCCUAUUUGCCAGCGAUUCGGUCGGGAACUCUAGGGAGACUGCCGGUGACAAACCGGAGGAAGGUGGGGACGACGUCAAGUCAUCAUGGCCCUUACGGGUAGGGCUACACACGUGCUACAAUGGCCGGUACAAUGGGUUGCAAAGCGGCGACGUGGAGCUAAUCUCAUAAAGCCGGUCUCAGUCCGGAUCGGAGUCUGCAACUCGACUCCGUGAAGUCGGAAUCGCUAGUAAUCGUGCAUCAGAAUGGCACGGUGAAUACGUUCCCGGGCCUUGUACACACCGCCCGUCACACCAUGGGAGUGGACUGCACCAGAAGUGGUUAGCCUAACUUCGGAGGGCGAUCACCACGGUGGUCUG
rnacentral:rRNA from 1 species